GUACGAGGACGACGCUGGCGGCGUGCUUAACACAUGCAAGUCGAACGGAAAGGCCCUGCUUUUGUGGGGUGCUCGAGUGGCGAACGGGUGAGUAACACGUGAGUAACCUGCCCUUGACUUUGGGAUAACUUCAGGAAACUGGGGCUAAUACCGGAUAGGAGCUCCUGCUGCAUGGUGGGGGUUGGAAAGUUUCGGCGGUUGGGGAUGGACUCGCGGCUUAUCAGCUUGUUGGUGGGGUAGUGGCUUACCAAGGCUUUGACGGGUAGCCGGCCUGAGAGGGUGACCGGCCACAUUGGGACUGAGAUACGGCCCAGACUCCUACGGGAGGCAGCAGUGGGGAAUAUUGCACAAUGGGCGGAAGCCUGAUGCAGCAACGCCGCGUGCGGGAUGACGGCCUUCGGGUUGUAAACCGCUUUCGCCUGUGACGAAGCGUGAGUGACGGUAAUGGGUAAAGAAGCACCGGCUAACUACGUG
rnacentral:rRNA from 1 species